UUGCCUACGGGAGGCAGCAGUGGGGAAUAUUGCACAAUGGGGGGAACCCUGAUGCAGCGACGCCGCGUGGGCGAUGGAGUAUUUCGGUAUGUAAAGCUCUAUCAGCAGGGAAGAAGAUGACGGUACCUGAUUAAGAAGCCCCGGCUAACUACGUGCCAGCAGCCGCGGUAAUACGUAGGGGGCAAGCGUUAUCCGGAUUUACUGGGUGUAAAGGGAGCGCAGACGGCAGUGCAAGUCUGGAGUGAAAGCCCGGGGCCCAACCCCGGAACUGCUCUGGAAACUGUGCGGCUAGAGUACUGGAGGGG
rnacentral:rRNA from 1 species